AAGCUGGGGUGCCGCAAAAAGGGCGGCUGAGAGGGCAAACGGCCUAACCCAUUGAACCUGUUGGUUAGUACCAUCGUAGGGAAGCUGAUAAUUC
rnacentral:ncRNA from 1 species